rnacentral:rRNA from 1 species
UUGCACGCUGGCGGCAGGCCUCACACAUGCCGGUCGCACGGUAACAGGAAGCAGCUUGCUGCUUUGCUGACGAGUGGCGGACGGGUGAGUAAUGUCUGGGAAACUGCCCGAUGGAGGGGGAUAACUACUGGAAACGGUAGCUAAUACCGCAUAACGUCGCAAGACCAAAGAGGGGGACCUUAGGGCCUCUUGCCAUCGGAUGUGCCCAGAUGGGAUUAGCUAGUAGGUGGGGUAACGGCUCACCUAGGCGACGAUCCCUAGCUGGUCUGAGAGGAUGACCAGCCACACUGGAACUGAGACACGGUCCAGACUCCUACGGGAGGCAGCAGUGGGGAAUAUUGCACAAUGGGCGCAAGCCUGAUGCAGCCAUGCCGCGUGUAUGAAGAAGGCCUUCGGGUUGUAAAGUACUUUCAGCGGGGAGGAAGGGAGUAAAGUUAAUACCUUUGCUCAUUGACGUUACCCGCAGAAGAAGCACCGGCUAACUCCGUG